CGUCCUUCUCAAUCACCAAGCCAAUUCCGCCCGCGCGCGCGGCGACCCAGCCGGCCGCGACUUCGUGUGGCAGGCACCGCGAGGGCGCGUGGGUGUGUACAGAAAACAGAAUAGGGGUCAGCAGCGGCCGCGAGAAGGGGUGGUGUUGGGGGCGCAGCCGACGCGAGCCGCGGCGGUCAAUGAGGCGGGCGCACGCGAUUUUUAGGCGGGGGCACGGAUGGUUCCGUGGAGCCGCC
rnacentral:lncRNA from 1 species